rnacentral:rRNA from 1 species
GGGCCCGCACAAGCAGUGGAGCAUGUGGUUUAAUUCGAUGCAACGCGAAGAACCUUACCAACCCUUGACAUCCUGUGCCACUACCAGAGAUGGUACGUUCCCUUCGGGGACGCAGUGACAGGUGCUGCAUGGCUGUCGUCAGCUCGUGUCGUGAGAUGUUCGGUUAAGUCCGGCAACGAGCGCAACCCACAUCUUUAGUUGCCAGCAGGUUAAGCUGGGCACUCUAGAGAAACUGCCCGUGAUAAGCGGGAGGAAGGUGUGGAUGACGUCAAGUCCUCAUGGCCCUUACGGGUUGGGCUACACACGUGCUACAAUGGCAGUGACAAUGGGUUAAUCCCCAAAAGCUGUCUCAGUUCGGAUUGGGGUCUGCAACUCGACCCCAUGAAGUCGGAAUCGCUAGUAAUCG